rnacentral:rRNA from 1 species
UACAGAGACUGCAAGCGUUAUUCGGAUUGACUGGGCGUAAAGCGCACGCAGGCGGACGCGCGCGUGGGGUGUGAAAUCUGGCCGCUUAACGGCCAGGCGCCAUCCCAUACGGCGGGUCUGGAGUGAUGCAGAGGGCGGUGGAAUUGCCGGUGUAGUGGUGAAAUGCGUAGAGAUCGGCAGGAACACCCAGGGGGAAACCAGCCGCCUGGGCAUCGACUGACGCUGAGGUGCGAGAGCGUGGGGAGCGAACCGG